AUCCGAACCAAUUUUGAUGUCUACUCCAAAACGUCAGCCAUGUAUGAGAAGUAUGACAUCAGCAACGGUGGACAGCCGGGUGGUGGAGGGGAGUAUGAGGUUCAGGAAGGGUUUGGCUGGACCAAUGGAGUGGUCCUGAUGCUCCUGGACCGCUAUGGUGACCGGCUGAGCUCAGGGACUCAGACAGCUUUCCUGGAGCCUCACUGCCUUGCAGCUGCCCUUCUACUUAGCCUCCUGCUCAGCCUCCUGCCACAGUGACCGGCCUCACUGCCCCGUCUGCCUUCACUUCCUCCUCUGCCUCCAGCUCCUGCCUCAUUAAACUUCUGAGUUCCCACCUGCUCCUGCCUCUUCAUCCUCCAUCCCUGGAGACCUCAUGCCCUCCUAUGUCCCUAGCCGGUCCUCAGUCAUUGUGAAGUGGGGGCAGGGUAGGGACC